CUGGUGUUUUAUUAUAAUCAUACACUUGUAUACUUAUUUCUGCAUAUUUUAUUUUUGAUAAUGUUGAACACGAUGCAGUAUGGAGUGAUGUGCGUGUAUAUUUUUAACUUUUAUAUCCUCGCCUUUUGAUAAGAUACUUUUUAAUAUUGCGUCAUUGUCCACACUUGUAGAUUCCAACAUUGAACAUUGUUUUCAUUUUGUCGAUGUCGACUAUAAAUUUGCAAGUAGGUAAUAAAUUACUUAGUCCGUGACUAUAAUCGAUGAUAUAAAAAGCAUUACGAAUCAAAAAGAUGAAUACACCGUAAAAUACUCA
rnacentral:lncRNA from 1 species